AAACUUAGGAUAACAUCAAACCAAAG
rnacentral:tRNA from 1 species